GGGGCCUGUUCCAGUGACUGAUCAACCUCUAAGAAAGGAACCUUUUCCUGAUGUCCAAUCUGAACUUCCCCUGACGCAGCCCCGUUCCAUCUGCUCGUGUCCUGUUGUUGGUCAGCACAGACAGGACAUCAGCACCUCCCUCUCCACUGCCUGCCUGGACAAAGGGGCACCAAAGAUGGGUCAACCCUCAGCCUUCCCUCCUCCAGGCUGCACAGGCUGAGGGACCUCAGCUGCCCCUCACGAGUCGUGCCCUCCAGACCCUUCCCCAGCUUGGCUGCUCUCUCUGGACACACUCUGACAGUCUGCUGUCCUCACAUUGGGGUGCCCAGAACCGCACACAGGACUCGAGGGGAGGCUGCAGCAGCACAGAGGCACGGAGGAGAGAGAUUUUAGCCCGAUAGAAGCAGACCCAGCAUCAGAGAGCAGAUUAGAGCCAAGAAGAAAGUGAUAGAGACAUACUGAAACAGGAUGAAGGUUUGAGAAGAACCAGAGCAGGUGCUGGGUUUUGACUCACGUGAGGAGGGUCUAGGGAUGCCCUGCGGAUUCCCAGGUUCCUGGGAAUUGUAUUUCUUCACAAAAUACAAGGUUCUGAAAUAAACC